GGAUGGUCUCCUGUUAUUAUCUGCUUGAGUGUAUUUUUUUUUUCAUUUUUUGCAAAUGCAAUAUUUGGUUUUGGCUUGUGGUUGCCCUGUUUUUUAAGUAUGCUAACCCCUUCCCAUAAUUGUGUGUUUUAGCCUGAUGGUCCUGUAAGUUCAAACACUUCAUUAUUAUAUUAAAAUUAAGAAGAGAGACAUACAUACAAACAAAAAGGGUUAUUUACCUCCUAACAUCCCUUGCCCACAUUUUAUGGUUUUGAUGACUCUUUUAUUUUUUUCCUUUUUUUUAAUUUUAUUUUGUUUGAAGCAUGUUCAUGAUUAAAUCUGUAUGCUGGCUUAUUUGAGUGACUGCUCUCUGAUUGUAUCUUCCUCAGUCCUAGUUCUUCCUCUUCUUCUUCUUCUUCUUUUUUUUUUUUUUUCUUUUCUUUUUCUUCCCUUUCCUUCCUUUCUUUUUGGUUUAGAGAAGCCCUUUCAAUAUUUCCUUUAACCUGGGCUUUGUGUUGCUGUAUUCUUUAAGUUUUUGUUUGUUGGGAAAAAUUUUUAUUUCCCCUUCUAUUUUAAAUGAUAUUCUUGCUGGAUAAAGUAUUCUAGGUUGCAUAUUUUUUCCUUUGAGCACUUUAAAUAUCUCUUGCCAUUCCCUCCUGGCCUGUAGUGUUUCUGUAGAGAAAUCAGCUGAUAUUCUUAUGGGGGUUCCCUUGUAGGUAACAUUCUGUUUUUCUCUUGCUGCCUUUAGGAUCCUCUCUUUAUCACUAACUUUUGCCAUUUUUAUUAUGAUGUGUCUUGGUGUGGGUCUGUUUGGGUUCAGUUUGUUUGGGGCCCUCUGUGCUUCUUGUAUCUUGAAUCCAGUAUCCUUUAGAUUUGGGAAGUUUCCAGCGAUAAUUUCUUCAAAUAUAUUUUCCAUUCCUUUAUCUUUUUCUACUCCUUCUGGAAUUCCUAUUAUGCGUAGAUUGGCCCGUUUUAUAUUAUCCCAUAGGUCUCUUAUAUUGCUUUCCAGUUUUUUGAUUCGGUUUUCUGUCUGUUGACCAGAUUGAGUGAUUUCCAUUAUUCUAUCUUCCAUAUCACUGAUUCGUUCUUCUGCAUUAUUCAUUCUGGUUUUUACUGCCCCUAGUUCAGUUUGCAUCUCUGCAAAUGAAUGUUCUAGUUUUUCUUGGCUCCUCCUUAUAUUUUCUAGCUCCUUUCUGAGGGUAUCUGCAUUGCUGUUCAUAUCUUCUCUUAAUUCCUUCAGUAUUUUCACUAUUUCUCUUUUGAACUCCAGGUCUGUCAGACUGCAGAGAUCAGUUUCAUUGUUGACUGUUUUAGGUGAGUUCUCCUGUUGGUUUGACUGGGAGUGGUUUCUCAGCUUCUUCAUCUUGCUUGUUGUUUUCUUUCUCCUGAGGGAG
rnacentral:lncRNA from 1 species